UUAAUUAUUUUUGUUUGUUGUUGUUUACAGGAUAUGUUUGUAUGGAAGACCUCAUCAGAUAUAUUACACUCAAUGCCAAAGACUGGAGGUAGCAUUGGACCCAUUGAUACUGGAACCAUUAAAAGAGCAUUCACUGAUAGUAUUAAAGGAAUGAGAAGGAAAGUGAAGAGAACUAUAUCAAAUCGUUCCAAUAGAAGACCAUUCAUACCAUUGAGGUACUUAUAGAUAUACUGUAUAGAGAGAGACUAGUGACAUAUUAUGAUAUUAUUGUGGUACAUAUUGUAUUUAUAUUAUUAGUAAAAAUGUUGAUCAGUUAGACACAAUGGAUGAAUCAUUUACUGAUCUUGAUUCUACUCUCAAUACUUGUACACUAUCAGUAGCUCCUCCUUUUCCUCCUACUCCAAUGAGAGCUCCUCCCACUAAAA